GGCGUGAAGCGGUUCAGCAGGCAGAGGUUCUCGGACGCCCUCCGGCGAAGCCACCUGUUGAUGCUUUUGACUUUCUGUCCUUGUUCCUCGUCCCAUCUGGAGCAUUUCCAAUUCUGGUUUUGCGGAGCAGCAGGUCUGAGCUUGUCCGGCGAGGGUGGGAGUUGGUCCCGGCGGAGAUCCAGUGGGAAGAGCCGGCGGCUGCCCGGGCAACUCCCCCACUGGAAAGGAUUCUGAAAGAAAUGAAGUCAGCCCUCAGAAAUGAAGUUGACUGCCUGCUGGCUUUCUGUUGACUGGCCCGGAGCUGUACUGCAAGACCCUUGUGAGCUUCCCUAGUCUAAGAGUAGGAUGUCUGCUGAAGUCAUCCAUCAGGUUGAAGAAGCACUUGAUACAGAUGAGAAGGAGAUGCUGCUCUUUUUGUGCCGGGAUGUUGCUAUAGAUGUGGUUCCACCUAAUGUCAGGGACCUUCUGGAUAUUUUACGGGAAAGAGGUAAGCUGUCUGUCGGGGACUUGGCUGAACUGCUCUACAGAGUGAGGCGAUUUGACCUGCUCAAACGUAUCUUGAAGAUGGACAGAAAAGCUGUGGAGACCCACCUGCUCAGGAACCCUCACCUUGUUUCGGACUAUAGAGUGCUGAUGGCAGAGAUUGGUG
rnacentral:lncRNA from 1 species